rfam:Aspergillus ruber CBS 135680 unplaced genomic scaffold scaffold00030, whole genome shotgun sequence.
GGCAAGAUGGCCGAGUGGUCUAAGGCGCUGUGUUUAGGUUAUCCGUAGUGUAUGCUAUGGUAUGAUCCGCAGUACGAAAGUGCGAGGGUUCGAAUCCCUCUCUUGUCA